rnacentral:rRNA from 1 species
AUUGAACGCUGGCGGCAGGCCUAACACAUGCAAGUCGAACGGUAGCACAGAGAGCUUGCUCUCGGGUGACGAGUGGCGGACGGGUGAGUAAUGUCUGGGAAACUGCCCGAUGGAGGGGGAUAACUACUGGAAACGGUAGCUAAUACCGCAUAACGUCGCAAGACCAAAGUGGGGGACCUUCGGGCCUCACACCAUCGAAUGUGCCCAGAUGGGACUAGCUAGUAGGUGGGGUAAUGGCUCACCUAGGCGACGAUCCCUAGCUGGUCUGAGAGGGUGACCAGCCACACUGGACCUGAGACACGGUCCAGACUCCUACGGGAGGCAGCAGUGGGGAAUAUUGCACAAUGGGCGCAAGCCUGAUGCAGCCAUGCCGCGUGUAUGAAGAAGGCCUUCGGGUUGUAAAGUACUUUCAGCGGGGAGGAAGGCGGUGAAGUUAACAGCUUCACCGAUUGACGUUACCCGCAGAAGAAGCACCGGCUAACUCCGUGCCAGCCGCCGCAGUAA